rnacentral:lncRNA from 1 species
CGACCUUCGGGGGCUGAUUUUUGGGCGCGGCUGUGCCCGUGGCCUAUUUUUGGCACACGUAGGCCGCCCGCCAAGCCUGGGGCCAUUCCGAGUCCCGCGGACGAACUUCGCCCACGCCCCCCGCCAAGGCUAUAGCCCACCUGUUUUUUGGCCAUUUUUCCGCUGGGGGGUCUUGGGAACCCCACCUUCGGGGGCUGAUUUUUGGGCGCGGCUGUGCCCGUGGCCCAUUUUUGGUACACGGAGGCUGCCCGCCAAGCCUGGGGCCAUUCCGAGUCCCGCGGACGAACUUCGCCCACGCCCCCCACAUAGGCUAUAGCCCACCCUUUUUUUGGCCAUUUUUCCGCUGGGGGGUCUUGGGACCCCGACCUUCGGGGGCUUAUUUUUGGGCGUGGCUGUGCCCGUGGCCUAUUUUUGGCACACGGAGGCCGCCCGCCAAGCCUGGGGCCAUUCCGAGUCCCGCGGAGGAACUUCGCCCACGCCGCCCACCAAGGCUAUAGCCCACCCGUUUUUUGGCCAUUUUUCCGCUGGGGGGUCUUGGGACCCCGACCUUCGGGGGCUGAUUUUUGGGCGCGGCUGUGCCCGUGGGCUCUUUUUGGCACACGGAGGCCGCCCGCCAAGUAUGGUGCCAUUCCGAGUCCCGCGGACGAACGUCGCCCACGCCCCCCACCAAGGCUAUAGCCCACCCUUUUUUUGGCCAUUUUUCCGCUGGGGGGUCUUGGGACCCCGACCUUCGGGGGCUGAUUUUUGGGCGCGGCUGUGCCCGUGGCCUAUUUUUGGCACACGGAGGCCGCCCGCCAAGUAUGGUGCCAUUCCGAGUCCCGCGGACGAACUUCGCCCACGCCCCCCGCCAAGGGUAUAGCCCACCCGUUUUUUGGCCAUUUUUCCGCUGGGGGGUCUUGGGACCCCGACCUUCGGGGGCUGAUUUUUGGGCGCGGCUGUGCCCGUGGCCUAUUUCUGGCACACGGAGGCCGCCCGCCAAUUCUGGUGCCAUUCCGAGUCCUGCGGAUGAACUUCGCCCACGCCGCCCACCAAGGCUAUAGCCCACCCGUUUUUUGGCCAUUUUUCCGCCUGGGGGUCUUGGGAACCCGACCUUCGGGGGCUGAUUUUUGGGCGCGGCUGUGCCCGUGGCCUAUUUUUGGCACACGGAGGCCGCCCGCCAAGUAUGGUGCCAUUCCGAGUCCCGCGGACGAACUUCGCCCACGCCCCCCACCAAGGCUAUAGCCCACCCUUUUUUUGGCCAUUUUUCCGCUGGGGGGUCUUGGGACCCCGACCUUCGGGGGCUGAUUUUUGGGCGCGGCUGUGCCCGUGGCCUAUUUUUGGCACACGGAGGCCGCCCGCCAAGUCUGGGGCCAUUCCGAGUCCCGCGGACGAACGUCGCCCACGCCCCCCACCACUGCUAUAGCCCACCCUUUUUUUGGCCAUUUUUCCGCUGGGGGGUCUUGGGACCCCGACCUUCGGGGGCUGAUUUUUGGGCGCGGCUGUGCCCGUGGCCUAUUUUUGGCACACGGAGGCCGCCCGCCAAGUAUGGUGCCAAUCCGAGUCCCGCAGACGAACUUCACCCACGCCCCCCACCAAGGCUAUAGCCCACCCGUUUUUUGGCCAUUUUUCCGCUGGGGGGUCUUGGGACCCCGACCUUUGGGGGCUGAUUUUUGGGCGCGGCUGUGCCCGUGGGCUCUUUUUGGCACACGAAGGCCGCCCGCCAAGUAUGGUGCCAUUCCGAGUCCCGCGGACGAACGUCGCCCACGCCCCCCACCAAGGCUAUAGCCCACCCUUUUUUUGGCCAUUUUUCCGCUGGGGGGUCUUGGGACCCCGACCUUCGGUGGCUGAUUUUUGGGCGCGGCUGUGCCCGUGGCCUAUUUUUGGCACACGGAGGCCGCCCGCCAAGUCUGGGGCCAUUCGGAUUCCGGGGGACGAACUUCGCCCACGCCCCCCCCCAAGGCUAUAGCCCACCCUUUUUUGGCCAUUUUUCCGCUGGGGGGUCUUGGGACCCCGACCUUCAGGGGCUGAUUUUUGGGCGCGGCUGUGCCCGUAGCCUAUUUUUGGCACACGGAGGCCGCCCGCCAUGUCUGGGGCCAUUCCGAGUCCCGCGGACGAACUUCGCCCACGCCGCCCACCAAGGCUAUAGCCCACCCAUUUUUUGGCCAUUUUUGCGCUGGGGGGUCUUGGGACCCCGACCUUCGCGGGCUGAUUUUUGGGCGCGGCUGUGCCCGUGGCCUAUUUUUGGCACACGGACGCCGCCCGCCAAGUCUGGGGCCAUUCCGAGUCCCGCGGACGAACGUCGCCCACGCCCCCCGCCAAGGGUAUAGCCCACCCUUUUUUUGGCCAUUUUUCCGCUGGGGGGUCUUGGGACCCCGACCUUCGGGGGCUGAUUUUUGGGCGCGGCUGUGCCCGUGGCCUAUUUUUGGCACACGGAGGCCGCCCGCCAAGCCUGGGGCCAUUCCGAGUCCCGCGGACGAACUUCGCCCACACCCCCCGCCAAGGCUAUAGCCCACCCGUUUUUUGGCCAUUUUUCCGCGGGGGGGUCUUGGGACCCCGUCCUUCGGGGGCUGAUUUUUGGGCGUGGCUGUGCCCGUGGCCUAUUUUUGGCACACGGAGGCCGCCCGCCAAGCCUGGGGCCAUUCCGAGUCCCGCGGACGAACUUCGCCCACGCUGCCCACCAAGGCUAUAGCCCACCCUUUUUUUGGCCAUUUUUCCGCUGUGGGGUCUUGGGACCCCGACCUUCGGGGGCUGAUUUUUGGGCGCGGCUGUGCCCGUGGCCUAUUUUUGGCACACGGAGGCCGCCUGCCAACUCUGGUGCCAUUCCGAGUCCCGCGGACGAACUUCGCCCACGCCGCCCACCAAGGCUAUAGCCCACCCGUUUUUCGGCCAUUUUUCCGCUGGGGGGUAUUGGGACCCCGACCUUCGGGGGCUGAUUUUUGGUCGCGGCUGUGCCCGUGGCCUAUUUUUGGCACACGGAGGCCGCCCGCCAUGCCUGGGGCCAUUCCGAGUCCCGCGGACGAACUUCGCCCACGCCCCCCGCCAAGGCUAUAGCCCACCCUUUUUUUGGCCAUUUUUCCGCUGGGGGGUCUUGGGACCCCGACCUUCGGGGGCUGAUUUUUGGGCGCGGCUGUGCCCGUGGCCUAUUUUUGGCACACGGAGGCCGCCCGCCAAGUAUGGGGCCAUUCCGAGUCCCGCGGACGAACUUCGCCCACGCCCCCCGCCAAGGCUAUAGCCCACCCGUUUUUUGGCCAUUUUUCCGCGGGGGGGUCUUGGGACCCCGACCUUCGGGGGCUGAUUUUUGGGCGCGGCUGUGCCCAUGGCCUAUUUUUCGCACACGGAGGCCGCCCGCCAAGUCUGGGGCCAUUCCGAGUCCGGCGGACGAACUUCGCCCACGCCCCCCACAUAGGCUAUAGCCCACCCGUUUUUUGGCCAUUUUUCCGCUGGGGGGUCUUGGGACCCCGACCUUCGGGGCUGAUUUUUGGGCGCGGCUGUGCCCGUGGCCUAGUUUUGGCACACGGAGGCCGCCCGCCAAGCCUUGGGCCAUUCCGUGUCCCGCGGACGAACUUCGCCCACGCCGCCCACCAAGGCUAUAGCCCACCCUUUUUUUGGCCAUUUUUCCGCUGGGGGGUCUUGGGACCCCGACCUUCGGGGGCUGGAUUUUGGGCGCGGCUGUGCCCGUGGCCUAUUUUUCGCACACGGAGGCCGNNNNNNNNNNNNNNNNNNNNNNNNNNNNNNNNNNNNNNNNNNNNNNNNNNNNNNNNNNNNNNNNNNNNNNNNNNNNNNNNNNNNNNNNNNNNNNNNNNNNNNNNNNNNNNNNNNNNNNNNNNNNNNNNNNNNNNNNNNNNNNNNNNNNNNNNNNNNNNNNNNNNNNNNNNNNNNNNNNNNNNNNNNNNNNNNNNNNNNNNNNNNNNNNNNNNNNNNNNNNNNNNNNNNNNNNNNNNNNNNNNNNNNNNNNNNNNNNNNNNNNNNNNNNNNNNNNNNNNNNNNNNNNNNNNNNNNNNNNNNNNNNNNNNNNNNNNNNNNNNNNNNNNNNNNNNNNNNNNNNNNNNNNNNNNNNNNNNNNNNNNNNNNNNNNNNNNNNNNNNNNUCCGAGUCCCGCGGACGAACUUCGCCCACGCCGCCCACCAAGGCUAUAGCCCACCCAUUUUUUGGCCAUUUUUGCGCUGGGGGGUCUUGGGACGCCGACCUUCGCGGGCUGAUUUUUGGGCGCGGCUGUGCCCGUGGCCUAUUUUGGGCACACGGACGCCGCCCGCCAAGUCUGGGGCCAUUCCGAGUCCCGCGGACGAACGUCGCCCACGGCCCCCGCCAAGGCUAUAGCCCACCCUUUUUUUGGCCAUUUUUCCGCUGGGGGGUCUUGGGACCCCGACCUUCGGGGGCUGAUUUUUGGGCGCGGCUGUGCCCGUGGCCUAUUUUUGGCACACGGAGGCCGCCCGCCAAGUAUGGUGCCAUUCCGAGUCCCGUGGACGAACGUCGCCCACGCCCCCCCCCCCCAAGGCUAUAGCCCACCCUUUUUUUGGCCAUUUUUCCGCUGGGGGGUCUUGGGACCCCGACCUUCGGGGGCAGAUUUUUGGGCGCGGCUGUGCCCGUGGCCUAUUUUUGGCACACGGAGGCCGCCCGCCAAGUCUGGGGCCAUUCCGAGUCCCGCGGACGAACGUCGCCCACGCCCCCCACCAACGCUAUAGCCCAUCCUUUUUUUGGCCAUUUUUCUGCUGGGGGGUCUUGGGACCCCGACCUUCGGGGGCUGAUUUUUGGGCGCGGCUGUGCCCGUGGCCUAUUUUUGGCACACGGAGGCCGCCCGCCAAGUAUGGUGCCAUUCCGAGUCCCGCGGACGAACUUCGCCCACGCCCCCCACCAAGGCUAUAGCCCACCCGUUUUUUGGCCAUUUUUCCGCUGGGGGGUCUUGGGACCCCGACCUUCGGGGGCUGAUUUUUAGGCGCGGCUCUGCCCGUGGCCUUUUUUUUGCGCACGGAUGCCGCCCGCCAAGUCUGGAGCCAUUCCGAGUCCCGCGGACGAACGUCGCCCACGCCCCCCACCAAGGCUAUAGCCCAUCCUUUUUUGGCCAUUUUUCCGCUGGGGGGUCUUGGGACCCCGACCUUCGGGGGCUGAUUUUUGGGCGUGGCUGUGCCCGUGGCCUAUUUUUGGCACACGGAGGCCGCCCGCCACGUAUGGUGCCAUUCCGAAUCCCGCGGACGAACUUCGCCCACGCCCCCCGCCAAGGCUAUAGCCAACCCGUUUUUUGGCCAUUUUUCCGCUGGGAGGUCUUGGGACCCCGACCUUCGGGGGCUGAUUUUUGGGUGCGGCUGUGCCCGUGGCCUAUUUUUGGCACACGGAGGCCGCCCGCCAAGUCUGGGGCCAUUCCGAGUCCCGCGGACGAACGUUGCCCACGCCCCCCACCAAGGCUAUAGCCCUCCCUUUUUUUGGCCAUUUUUCCGCUGGGGGGUCACACGGAGGCCGCCCGCCAAGUAUGGUGCCAUUCCGAGUCCCGCGGACGAACUUCGCCCACGCCCCCCUCCAAGGCUAUAGCCCACCCGUUUUUUGGCUAUUUUUCAGCUGGGGGGUCUUGGGACCCCGACCUUCGGGGGCUGAUUUUUGGGCGCGGCUGUGCCCGUGGCCUAUUUUUGGCACACGGAGGCCGCCCGCCAAGUCUGGGGCCAUUCCGAGUCCCGCGGACGAACGUCGCCCACGCCCCCCACCAAGGCUAUAGCCCACCCUUUUUUUGGCCAUUUUUCCGCUAGGGGGUCUUGGGACCCCGACCUUCGGAGGCUGAUUUUUGGGCGCGGCUGUGGCCGUGGCCUAUUUUUGGCACACGGAGGCCGCCCGCCAAGUAUGGUGCCAUUCCGAGUCCCGCGGACGAACUUCGCCCACGCCCCCCACCAAGGCUAUAGCCCACCCUUUUUUUGGCCAUUUUUCCACUGGGGGUUCUUGGGACGCCGACGUUCGGGGGCUGAUUUUUGGGAGCGGCUGUGCCCGUGGCCUAUUUUGGCACACGGAGCCGCCCGCCAAGUCUGGUGCAAUUCCGAGUCCCGCGGACGACUUCGCCCACGCCGACCGCCAAGCUAUAGCCCACCCUUUUUUUGGCCAUUUUCCGCUGGGGGUCUGGGACCCGACCAUCGGGGGCUGAUUUUUGGGCACGGCUGUGCCCGUGGCCUAUUUUUGGCACACGGAGGCCGCCCGCCAAGUCUGGUGCCAUUCCGAGUCGCGCGGACGAACUUCGCCCACGCCCCCCGCCAAGGCUAUAGCCCACCCGUUUUUUGGCCAUUUUUCCGCUGGGGGUGUUUUGGGACCCCGACCUUCGGGGGCUGAGUUUUGGGCGCGGCAGUGCCCGUGGCCUAUUUUUGGCACACGGAGGCCGCCCGCCAAGUCUGGGGCCAUUCCGAGUCCCGCGGACGAACGUCGCCCACGCCUCCCACCAAGGCUAUAGCCCACCCUUUUUUUGGCCAUUUUUCCGCUGGGGGGUCUUGGGACCCCGACCUUCGGGGGCUGAUUUUUGGGCGCGGCUGUGCCCGUGGCCUAUUUUUGGCGCACGGAGGCCGCCCGCCAAGUCUGGGGCCAUUCCGAGUCCCGCGGACGAACGUCGCCCACGCCCCCCACCAAGGCUAUAACCCAUCCUUUUUUGGCCAUUUUUCUGCUGGGGGGUCUUGGGACCCCGACCUUCGGGGGCUGAUUUUUGGGCGCGGCUGUGCCCGUGGCCUAUUUUUGGCACACAGAGGCCGCCCGCCAUGUAUGGUGCCAUUCCGAGUCCCGCGGACGAACUUCGCCCACGCCCCCCACCAAGGCUAUAGCCCACCCGUUUUUUGGCCAUUUUUCCGCUGGGGGGUCUUGGGACCCCGACCUUCGGGGGCUGAUUUUUGGGCGCGGCUGUGCCCGUGGCCUAUUUUUGGCACACAGAGGCCGCUCGCCAAGUCUGGGGCCAUUCCGAGUCCCGCGGACGAACGUCGCCCACGCCCCCCACCAAGGCUAUAGCCCACCCUUUUUUUGGCCAUUUUUCCGCUGGGGGGUCUUGGGACCCCGACCUUCGGGGGCUGAUUUUUGGGCGCGGCUGUGCCCGUGGCCUAUUUUUGGCACACGGAGGCCACCCGCCAAGUAUGGUACCAUUCCGAGUCCCGCGGACGAACUUCGCCCACGCCCCCCACCAAGGCUAUAGCCCACCCGUUUUUUGGCCAUUUUUCCGCUGGGGGGUCUUGGGACGCCGACGUUCGGGGGCUGAUUUUUGGGAGCGGCUGUGCCCGUGGCCUAUUUUUGGCACACGGAGGCCGCCCGCCAAGUAUGGUGCCAUUCCGAGUCCCGCGGACGAACUUCACCCACGCCCCCCACCAAGGCUAUAGCCGACCCGUUUUUUGGCCAUUUUUCCGCUGGGGGGACUUGGGACCCCGACCUUCGGGGGCUGAUUUUUGGGCGCGGCUGUGCCCGUGGUCUAUUUUUGGCGCACGGAGGCCGCCCGCCAAGUCUGGGGCCAUUCCGAGUCCGGCGGACGAACUUCGCCCACGCCCCCCUGCAAGGCUAUAGCCCACCCGUUUUUUGGCUAUUUUUCAGCUGGGGGGACUUGGGACCCCAACCUUCGGGGGCUGAUUUUACGGCGCGGCUGUGCCCGUGGCCUAUUUUUCGCACACGGAGGCCGCCCGCCAAGUCUGGGGCCAUUCCGAGUCCCGCGGACGAACUUCGCCCACGCCCCCCACAUAGGCUAUAGCCCACCCUUUUUUUGGCUAUUUUACCGCUGGAGGGCCUUGGGACCCCGACCUUCGGGGGCUGAUUUUUGGGUGCGGCUGUGCCCGUGGCCUACUUUUGGCAAACGGAGGCCGCCCGCCAAGUCUGGUACCAUUCCGAGUCCCGCGAACGAACUUCGCCCACGCCCCCCACAUAGGCUAUAGCCCACCCUUUUUUUGGCCAUUUUUCCGCUGGAGGGCCUUGGGACCCCGACCUUCGGGGGCUGAUUUUUGAGCACGGCUGUGCCCGUGGCCUAUUUUUGGCACACGGAGGCCGCCCGCCAAGUCUGGGGCCAUUCCGAGUCCGGCGGACGAACUUCGCCCACGCCCCCCUCCAAGGCUAUAGCCCACCCGUUUUUUGGCCAUUUUUCAGCUGGGGGGACUUGGGACCCCAACCUUCGGGGGCUGUUUUUUGGGCGCGGCUGUGCCCGUGGCCUAUUUUUGGCACACGGAGGCCGCCCGCCAAGUCUGGGGCCAUUCAGAGUCCCGCGGACGAACUUCGCCCACGCCCGCCACAUAGGCUAUAGCCCACCCUUUUUUUGGCCAUUUUUCCGCUGGAAGGCCUUGGGACCCCGACCUUCGGGGGCUGAUUUUUGGGCGCGGCUGUGCCCGUGGCCUAUUUUUGGCACACGGAGGCCGCCCGCCAAGUAUGGUGCCAUUCCGAGUCCCGCGGACGAACUUCGCCCACGCCCCCCACCAAGGCUAUAGCCCACCCUUUUUUUGGCCAUUUUUCCGCUGGGGGGUCUUGGGACCCCGACCUUCGGGGGCUGAUUUUUGUGCUCGGAGGUCCGAUUGAGGUGUUUUUUUUUUUAAACUGCAUAACGUUUCGAGAGGAAUGCGGUGGUCAAGUUCCAAAGGAGCUUGGUGGGCUUUUUGAACCCUUAAUUUUACAUUUUUCUCAUGUUUUGACAUAUUUUUUGUACCACGAACUUUUUAAACCUAAUUUCUUUUUACCCUAAGACGUUUUAAUUUUGAUUCGACCACAGAAAACAACAACAUAAAUAUCCAAUUACGAUGUGAAAUCAUUAAUUAUUUGUUUUAUUAUUAAUUUACAUUUUACUUUUCCAUUUAAAUAAUAUUUGUGCCUAUAGUUACAAGAAUUUAUGGUGGCUCAGUGGUGGGUUUGAAACUUUAUUUAUGAUUUUGACCUCCAUGUAAAGGGUUCAAGCUGCAGCUAAAUCUUUGCAUCUUCUUUUCAAAUAUUAAGGCAACUUCCUGCGCAGGUAGCCUCCAAUGAACAGCGGGCAAGGGCAACGGGUAGGGGACAAGCAAACGGGUUUUUUUGGGGUAGAUUUUAUGAACAGACGCAGAGCAUGGGGAGACGGACUGAGCUGAUAAGCGUCGGACUUGUUUGGAAGCCCUAGAUUUUUUGUAUGGAUGCAGAAAAUGGGAUGGCGGACAUGGGAAACUAUGUUUAGGAUUCAAAAAAAUGAAAAUGGAGAAGCCUGGACUUUGAAAACUUGGAGGAAGUGGUAGAAGGCUGCCCAUGCUCGAACGAGGGAAGCUCGCCACCAAGUAGCUUGCCGGGCUUUUUCGACCCAUAAUUUGCGUUUUUAUCAUGUUUUGACUAUAUUUUGUACCACGAACCCUUUAAACCUAACUUUUACUUACCAUCGCCCACGCCCCCCACCAAGGCUAUAGCCCACCCGUUUUUUGGCCAUUUUUCCGCUGGGGGGUCUUGGGACCCCGACCUUCGGGGGCUGAUUUUUGGGCGCGGCUGUGCCCGUGGCCUAUUUUUGGCGCACGGAGGCCGCCCGCCAAGUCUGGGGCCAUUCCGAGUCCCGCGGACGAACUUCGCCCACGCCCCCCGCCAAGGCUAUAGCCCAACCGUUUUUUGGCCAUUUUUCCGCUGGGGGGUCUUGGGACCCCGACCUUCGGGGGCUGAUUUUUGGGCGCGGCUGUGCCCGUGGCCUAUUUUUGGCGCACGGAGGCCGCCCGCCAAGUCUAGGGCCAUUCCGAGUCCGGCGGACGAACUUCGCCCACGCCCCCCACCAAGGCUAUAGCCCAUCCUUUUUUUGGCCAUUUUUCCGCUGGUGGGUCUUGGGACCCCGACAUUCGGGGGCUGAUUUUUGGGCGCGGCUGUGCCCGUUGCCUAUUUUUGGCACACGGAGGCCGCCCGCCAAGUCUGGGGCCAUUCCGAGUCCCGCGGACUAACGUCGCCCACGCCCCCCACCAAGGCUAUAGACCAUCCUUUUUUUGGCCAUUUUUCUGCUGGGGGGUCUUGGGACCCCGACCUUCGGGGGCUGAUUUUUGGGCGCGGCUGUGCCCGUAGCCUAUUUUUGGCACACGGAGGCCACCCGCCAAGUAUGGUGCCAUUCCGAGUCCCGCGGAGGAACUUCGCCCACGCCCCCCACCAAGGCUAUAGUCCACCCGUUUUUUGGCCAUUUUUCCGCUGGGGGGUCUUGGGACCCCGACCUUCGGGGGCUGAUUUUUGGGCGCGGCUGUGCCCGUGGCCUAUUUUUGGCGCACGGAGGCCGCCUGCCAUGUCUGGGGCCAUUCCGAGUCCGGCGGACGAACUUCGCCCACGCCCCCCACCAAGGCUAUAGCCCAUCCUUUUUUUGGCCAUUUUUCCGCUGGGGGGUCUUGGGACCCCGACAUUCGGGGGCUGAUUUUUGGGCGCGGCUGUGCCCGUGGCAUAUUUUUGGCGCACGGAGGCCGCCCGCCAAGUCUGGGGCCAUUCCGAGUCCCGCGGACUAACGUCGCCCAUGCCCCCCACCAAGGCUAUAGCCCAUCCUUUUUUUGGCCAUUUUUCUGCUGGGGGGUCUUGGGACCCCGACCUUCGGGGGCUGAUUUUUGGGCGCGGCUGUGCCCGUGGCGUAUUUUUGGCACACGGAGGCUGCCCGCCAAGUCUGGGGCCAUUCCGAGUCCCGCGGACUAACGUCGCCCACGCCCCCCACCAAGGCUAUAGCCCAUCCUUUUUUUGGCCAUUUUUCUGCUGGGGGGUCUUGGGACCCCGACCUUCGGGGGCUGAUUUUUGGGCGCGGCUGUGCCCGUGGCCUAUUUUUGGCACACGCAGGCCGCCCGCAAAGUCUGGGGCCAUUCCGAGUCCAGCGGACGAACAUCGCCCACGCCCCCCACAUAGGCUAUAGCCCACCCGUUUUUUGGCCAUUUUUCCGCUGGGGGGUCUUGGGACCCCGACCUUCGGGGGCUGAUUUUUGGGCGCGGCUGUGCCCGUGGCCUAUUUUUGGCACACGGAGGCCGCCCGCCCUGUCUGGUGCCAUUCCGAGUCCCGCGGACGAACUUCGCCCACGCCGCCCACCAAUGCUAUAGCCCACCCGUUUUUUGGCCAUUUUUCCGCUGGGGGGUCUUGGGACCCCGACCUUCGGGGGCUGAUUUUUGGGAGCGGCUGUGCCCGUGGCCUAUUUUUGGCACACGGAGGCCGCCCGCCAAGUCUGGGGCCAUUCCGAGUCCCGCGGACGAACUUCGCCCACGCCCCCCGCCAAGGCUAUAGCCCACCCGUUUUUUGGCCAUUUUUCCGCUGGGGGGUCUUGGGACCCCGACCUUCGGGGGCUGAUUUUUGGGCGCGGCUGUGCCCGUGGCCCAUUUUUGGCACACGGAGGCCGCCCGCCAAGUCUGGGGCCAUUCCGAGUCCGGCGGACGAACUUCGCCCACGCCCCCCACAUAGGCUAUAGCCCACCCGUUUUUUGGCCAUUUUUCCGCUGGGGGGUCUUGGGACCCCGACCAUCGGGGGCUGAUUUUUGGGCGCGGCUGUGCCCGUGGCCUAUUUUUGGCACACGGAGGUCGCCCGCCAAGUAUGGUGCCAUUCCGAGUCCCGCGGACGAACUUCGCCCACGCCCCCCACCAAGGCUAUAGCCCACCCGUUUUUUGGCUAUUUUUCCGCUGGGGGGUCUUGGGACCCCGACAUUCGGGGGCUGAUUUUUGGGCGCGGCUGUGCCCGUGGCAUAUUUUUGGCGCACGGAGGCCGCCCGCCAAGUCUGGGGCCAUUCCGAGUCCCGCGGACUAACGUCGCCCAUGCCCCCCACCAAGGCUAUAGCCCAUCCUUUUUUUGGCCAUUUUUCUGCUGGGGGGUCUUGGGACCCCGACCUUCGGGGGCUGAUUUUUGGGCGCGGCUGUGCCCGUGGCGUAUUUUUGGCACACGGAGGCUGCCCGCCAAGUCUGGGGCCAUUCCGAGUCCCGCGGACUAACGUCGCCCACGCCCCCCACCAAGGCUAUAGCCCAUCCUUUUUUUGGCCAUUUUUCUGCUGGGGGGUCUUGGGACCCCGACCUUCGGGGGCUGAUUUUUGGGCGCGGCUGUGCCCGUGGCCUAUUUUUGGCACACGCAGGCCGCCCGCAAAGUCUGGGGCCAUUCCGAGUCCAGCGGACGAACAUCGCCCACGCCCCCCACAUAGGCUAUAGCCCACCCGUUUUUUGGCCAUUUUUCCGCUGGGGGGUCUUGGGACCCCGACCUUCGGGGGCUGAUUUUUGGGCGCGGCUGUGCCCGUGGCCUAUUUUUGGCUCACGGAGGCCGCCCGCCAAGUCUGGGGCCAUUCCGAGUCCCGCGGACGAACGUCGCCCACGCCCCCUACCAAGGCUAUAGCCCACCCAUUUUUUGGCCAUUUUUCCGCUGGGGGGUCUUGGGACCCCGACCUUCGGGGGCUGAUUUUUGGGCGCGGCUGUGCCCGUGGCCUAUUUUUGGCACACGGAGGCCGCCCGCCAAGUCUGGGGCCAUUCCGAGUCCAGCAGACGAACUUCGCCCACGCCCCCCACAUAGGCUAUAGCCCACCCGUUUUUUGGCCUUUUUUCCGCUGGGGGGUCUUGGGACCCCAACCUUCGGGGGCUGAUUUUUGGGCGCGGCUGUGCCCGUGGCCUAUUUUUGGCACACGGAGGCCGUCCGCCAAGUCUGGGGCCAUUCCGAGUCCGGCGGACGAACUUCGCCCACGCCCCCCUCCAAGGCUAUAGCCCACCCGUUUUUUCGCCAUUUUUCCGCUGGGGGGUCUUGGGAUCCCGACCUUCGGGGGCUGAUUUUUGGGUGCGGCUGCGCCCGUGGCCUAUUUUUGGCACACGGAGGCCGUCCGCCAAGUCUGGGGCCAUUCCGAGUCCCGCGGACGAACUUCGCCCACGCCCCCCACCAAGGCUAUAGCCCACCCUUUUUUUGGCCAUUUUUCCGCUGGAGGGUCUUGGGACCCCGACCUUCGGGUGCUGAUUUUUGGGCGCGGCUGUGGCCGUGGCCUAUUUUUGGCACACGGAGGCCGCCCGCCAAGUAUGGGGCCAUUCCGAGUCCCGCGGACGAACUUCGCCCACGCCCCCCACCAAGGCUAUAGCCCACCCGUUUUUUGGCCAUUUUUCCGCUGGGGGGUCUUGGGACCCCAACCUUCGGGGGCUGAUUUUUGGGCGCGGCUGUGCCCGUGGCCUAUUUUUGGCACACGGAGGCCGUCCGCCAAGUCUGGGGCCAUUCCGAGUCCGGCGGACGAACUUCGCCCACGCCCCCCUCCAAGGCUAUAGCCCACCCGUUUUUUCGCCAUUUUUCCGCUGGGGUGUCUUGGGACCCCGACCUUCGGGGGCUGAUUUUUGGGCGCGGCUGUGCCCGUGGCCUAUUUUUGGCACACGGAGGCCGCCCGCCAAGUCUGGGGCCAUUCCGAGUCCCGCGGACGAACUUCGCCCACGCCCCCCACAUAGGCUAUAGCCCACCCUUUUUUUGGCCAUUUUUCCGCUGGAGGGCGUUGGGACCCCGACCUUCGGGGGCUGAUUUUGGGGCGCGGCUGUGUCCGUGGCCUAUUUUUGGCACACGGAGGCCGCCCGCCAAGUAUGGUGCCAUUCCGAGUCCCGCGGACGAACUUCGCCCACGCCCCCCGCCAAGGCUAUAACCCACCCGUUUUUUGGCCAUUUUUCCCUUGGGGGUCUUGGGACCCCGACCUUCGGGGGCUGAUUUUUGGGCGCGGCUCUGCGCGUGGCCUAUUUUUGGCACACGGAGGCCGCCCGCCAAGUAUGGUGCCAUUCCGAGUCCCGCGGACGAACUUCGCCCACGCCCCCCACCAAGGCUAUAGCCCACCCGUUUUUUGGCCAUUUUUCCGCUGGGGGGUCUUGGGACCCCGACCUUCGGGGGCUGAUUUUUGGGCGCGGCUGUGCCCGUGGCUUAUUUUUGGCGCACGGAGGCCGCCCGCCAAGUCUGGGGCCAUUCCGAGUCCGGCGGACGAACUUCGUCCUCGCCCCCCUCCAAGGCUAUAGCCCACCCGUUUUUUGGCCAUUUUUCAGCUGGGGGGACUUGGGACCCCAACCUUCGGGGGCUGAUUUUUGGGCGCGACUGUGCCCGUGGCCUAUUUUUGGCACAAGGAGGCCGCCCGCCAAGUCUGGGGCCAUUCCGAGUCCCGCGGACGAACUUCGCCCACGCCCCCCACAUAGGCUAUAGCCCACCCUUUUUUUGGCCAUUUUUCCGCUGGAGGGCGUUGGGACCCCGACCUUCGGGGGCUGAUUUUUGGGCGCGGCUGUGCCCGUGGCCUAUUUUUGGCACACGGAGGCCGCCCGCCAAGUAUGGGGCCAUUCCGAGUCCCGCGGACGAACUUCGCCCACGCCCCCCGCCAAGGCUAUAACCCACCCGUUUUUUGGCCAUUUUUCCGCUGGGGGGUCUUGGGACCCCGACCUUCGGGGGCUGAUUUUUGGGCGCGGCUGUGCCCGUGGCCUAUUUUUGGCACACGGAGGCCGCCCGCCAAGUCUGGGGCCAUUCCAAGUCCCGCGGACGAACGUCGCCCACGCCCCCCACCAAGGCUAUAGCCCAACCGUUUUUUGGCCAUUUUACCGCUGGGGGGUCUUGGGACCCCGACCUUCGGGGGCUGAUUUUUGGGCGCGGCUGUGCCCGUGGCCUAGUUUGGCACACGGAGGCCGCCCGCCAAGUAUGGUGCCAUUCCGAGUCCCGCGGACGAACUUCGCCCACGCCCCCACCAAGGCUAUAGCCCACCCGUUUUUUGGCCAUUUUUCCGCUGGGGGGUCUUGGGACGCCGACCUUCGGGGGCUGAUUUUUGGGAGCGGCUGUGCCCGUGGCCUAUUUUUGGCGCACGGAGGCCGCCCGCCAAGUCUGGUGCAAUUCCGAGUCCCGCGGACGAACUUCGCCCACGCCGCCCACCAAGGAUAUAGCCCACCCUUUUUUUGGCCAUUUUUCCGCUGGGGGGUCUUGGGACCCCGACCUUCGGGGGCUGAUUUUUGGGCGCGGCUGUGCCCGUGGCCUAUUUUUGGCACACGAAGGCCGCCCGCCAAGUCUGGUGCCAUUCCGAGUCCCGCGGACAAACUUCGCCCACGCCCCCCACCAAGGCUAUAGCCCACCCGUUUUUUGGCCAUUUUUCCGCUGGGGGGUCUUGGGACCCCGACCUUCGGGGGCUGAUUUUUGGGCGCGGCUGUGCCCGUGGCCUAUUUUUGGUGCACGUAGGCCGCCCGCCAAGUCUGGGGCCAUUCCGAGUCCGGCGGACGAACUUCGCCCACGCCCCCCACCAAGGCUAUAGCCCACCCGUUUUUUGGCCAUUUUUCAGCUGGGGGGACUUGGGACCCCACCCUUCGGGGGCUGAUUUGUGGGCGCGGCUGUGCCCGUGGCCUAUUUUUGGCACACGGAGGCCACCCGCCAAGUCUGGGGCCAUUCCGAGUCCCGCGGACGAACUUCGCCCACGCCCCCCACAUAGGCUAUAGCCCACCCUUUUUUUGGCCAUUUUUCCGCUGGAGGGCCUUGGGACCCCGACCUUCGGGGGCUGAUUUUUGGGCGCGGCUGUGCCCGUGGCCUAUUUUUGGCACACGGAGGCCGCCCGCCAAGUAUGGUGCCAUUCCGAGUCCCGCGGACGAACUUCGCCCACGCCCCCCGCCAAGGCUAUAGCCCACUCGUUUUUUGGCCAUUUUUCCGCUGGGGGGUCUUGGGACCCCGACCUUCGGGGGCUGAUUUUUGGGCGCGGCAGUGCCCGUGGCCUAUUUUUGGCACACGGAGGCCGCCCGCCCAGUCUGGGGCCAUUCCGAGUCCCGCGGACGAACGUCGCCCACGCCCCCCACCAAGGCUAUAGCCCACCCAUUUUUUGGCCAUUUUUCCGCUGGGGGGUCUUCGGACCCCGACCUUCGGGGGCUGAUUUUUGGGCGCGGCUGUGCCCGUGGCCUAUUUUUGGCACACGGAGGCUGCCUGCCAUGUAUGGUGCCAUUCCGAGUCCCGCGGACGAACUUCGCCCACGCCCCCCACAUAGGCUAUAGCCCACCCUUUUUUUGGCCAUUUUUCCGCUGGAGGGCCUUGGGACCCCGACCUUCGGGGGCUGAUUUUUGGGCGCGGCUGUGCCCGUGGCCUAUUUUUGGCACACGGAGGCCGCCCGCCAAGUCUGGGGCCAUUCCGAGUCCCGCGGACGAACGUUGCCCACGCCCCCCACCAAGGCUAUAGCCCACCCUUUUUUUGGCCAUUUUUCCGCUGGGGGGUCACACGGAGGCCGCCCGCCAAGUAUGGUGCCAUUCCGAGUCCCGCGGACGAACUUCGCCCACGCCCCCCUCCAAGGCUAUAGCCCACCCGUUUUUUGGCUAUUUUUCAGCUGGGCGGUCUUGGGACCCCGACCUUCGGGGGCUGAUUUUUGGGCGCGGCUGUGCCCGUGGCCUAUUUUUGGCACACGGAGGCCGCCCGCCAAGUAUGGUGCCAUUCCGAGUCCCGCGGACGAACUUCGCCCACGCCCCCCACCAAGGCUAUAGCCCACCCGUUUUUUGGCCAUUUUUCCACUGGGGGUUCUUGGGACGCCGACGUUCGGGGGCUGAUUUUUGGGAGCGGCUGUGCCCGUGGCCUAUUUUUGGCGCACGGAGGCCGCCCGCCAAGUCUGGUGCAAUUCCGAGUCCCGCGGACGAACUUCGCCCACGCCGACCGCCAAGGCUAUAGCCCACCCUUUUUUUGGCCAUUUUUCCGCUGGGGGGUCUUGGGACCCCGACCAUCGGGGGCUGAUUUUUGGGCACGGCUGUGCCCGUGGCCUAUUUUUGGCACACGGAGGCCGCCAGCCAAGUCUGGGGCCAUUCCGAGUCCCGCGGACGAACGUCGCCCAAGCCCCCCACCAAGGCUAUAGCCCACCCAUUUUUUGGCCAUUUUUCCGCUGGGGGGUCUUGGGACCCCGACCUUCGGGGGCUGAUUUUUGGGCGCGGCAGUGCCCGUGGCCUAUUUUUGGCACACGGAGGCCGCCCGCCAAGUCUGGGGCCAUUCCGAGUCCCGCGGACGAACGUCGCCCAAGCCCCCCACCAAGGCUAUAGCCCACCCAUUUUUUGGCCAUUUUUCCGCUGGGGGGUCUUGGGACGCCGACGUUCGGGGGCUGAUUUUUGGGCGCGGCUGUGCCCGUGGCCUAUUUUUGGCACACGGAGGCCGCCUGCCAUGUAUGGUGCCAUUCCGAGUCCCGCGGACGAACUUCGCCCACGCCCCCCACAUAGGCCAUAGCCCACCCUUUUUUUGGCCAUUUUUCCGCUGGAGGGCCUUGGGACCCCGACCUUCGGGGGCUGAUUUUUGGGCGCGGCUGUGUCCGUGGCCUAUUUUUGGCACACGGAGGCCGCCCGCCAAGUAUGGUGCCAUUCCGAGUCCCGCGGACGAACUUCGCCCACGCCCCCCGCCAAGGGUAUAGCCCACCCGUUUUUUGGCCAUUUUUCCGCUGGGGGGUCUUGGGACCCCGACCUUCGGGGGCUGAUUUUUGGCGCGGCUGUGCCCGUGGCCUAUUUUUGGCACACGGAGGCCGCCAGCCAAGUCUGGGGCCAUUCCGAGUCCCGCGGACGAACGUCGCCCACGCCCCCCACCAAGGCUAUAGCCCACCCUUUUUUUGGCCAUUUUUCCGCUGGGGGGUCUUGGGACCCCGACCUUCGGGGGCUGAUAUUUGGGCGCGGCUGUACCCGUGGCCUAUUUUUGGCACACGGAGGCCGCCCGCCAAGUAUGGUGCCAUUCCGAGUCCCGCGGACGAACUUCGCCCACGCCCCCCACCAAGGCUAUAGCCCACCCGUUUUUUGGCCAUUUUUCCGCUGGGGGGUCUUGGGACGCCGACGUUCGGGGGCUGAUUUUUGGGAGCGGCUGUGCCCGUGGCCUAUUUUUGGCACACGGAGGCCACCCGCCAAGUCUGGGCCCAUUCCGAGUCCGGCGGACGAACUUCGCCCACGCCCCCCUCCAAGGCUAUAGCCCACCCAUUUUUUGGCAAUUUUUCCGCUGGGGGGUCUUGGGACCCCGACCUUCGGGGGCUGAUUUUUGGGCGCGGUUGUGCCCGUGGCCUAUUUUUGGCACACAGAGGCCGCCCGCCAAGUAUGGUGCCAUUCCGAGUCCCGCGGACGAACUUCGCCCACGCCCCCCACCAAGGCUAUAGCCCACCCGUUUUUUGGCCAUUUUUCCGCUGGGGGGUCUUGGGACCCCGACCUUCGGGGGCUGAUUUUUGGGCGCGGCUGUGCCCGUGGCCUAUUUUUGGCGCACGGAGGCCGCCCGCCAAGUAUGGGGCCAUUCCGAGUCCCGCGGACGAACUUCACCCACGCCCCCUUCCAAGGCUAUAGCGCAUCCGUUUUUUGGCCAUUUUUCAGCUGGGGGGACUUGGGACCCCAACCUUCGGGGGCUGAUUUUUGGGCGCGGCUGUGCCCGUGGCCUAUUUUUGGCACACGGAGGCCGCCCGCCAAGUAUGGUGCCAUUCCGAGUCCCGCGGACGAACUUCGCCCACGCCCCCCACCAAGGCUAUAGCCCACCCAUUUUUUGGCCAUUUUUCCGCUGGGGGUCUUGGGACCCCGACCUUCGGGGGCUGAUUUUUGGGCGCGGCUUUGCCAGUGGCCUAUUUUUGGCCCACGGAGGCCGCCCGCCAAGUCUGGGGCCAUUCCGAGUCCCGCGGAGGAACGUCGCCCACGCCCCCCACCAAGGCUAUAGCCCACCCUUUUUUUGGCCAUUUUUCCGCUGGGGGGUCUUGGGACCCCGACCUUCGGGGGCUGAUUUUUGGGCGCGGCUGUGCCCGUGGCCUAUUUUUGGCACACGGAGGCCGCCCGCCAAGUAUUGUCCCAUUCCGAGUCCCGCGGACGAACUUCGCCCACGCCCCCCACCAAGGCUAUAGCCCACCCGUUUUUUGGCCAUUUUUCCGCUGGGGGGUCUUGGGACGCCGACGUUCGGGGGCUGAUUUUUGGGAGCGGCUGUGGCCGUGGCCUAUUUUUGGCACACGGAGGCCGCCCGCCAAGUCUGCUGCAAUUCCGAGUCCCGCGGACGAACUUCGCCCACGCCGCCCACCAAGGCUAUAGCCCACCCUUUUUUUGGCCAUUUUUCCGCUGGGGGGUCUUGGGACCCCGACCUUCGGGGGCUGAUUUUUGGGCGCGGCUGUGGCCGUGGCCUAUUUUUGGCACACGGAGGCCGCCCGCCAAGUCUGGUGCAAUUCCGAGUCCCGCGGACGAACUUCGCCCACGCCGCCCACCAAGGCUAUAGCCCACCCUUUUUUUAGCCAUUUUUCCGCUGGGGGGUCUUGGGACCCCGACCUUCGGGGGCUGAUUUUUGGGCGCGGCUGUGCCCGUGGCCUAUUUUUGGCACACGGAGGCCGCCCGCCAAGUCUGGUGCCAUUCCGAGUCCCGCGGACGAACUUCGCCCACGCCCCCCACCAAGGCUAUAGCCCACCCAUUUUUUGGCCAUUUUUCCGCUGGGGGGUUUUGGGACCCCGACCUUCGGGGGCUGAUUUUUGGGCACGGCUGUGCCCGUGGCCUAUUUUUGGCACACGGAGGCCGCCUGCCAAGUCUGGGGCCAUUCCGAGUCCAGCGGACGAACAUCGCCCACGCCCCCCACAUAGGCUAUAGCCCACCCGUUUUUUGGCCAUUUUUCGGCUGGGGGGUCUUGGGACCCCGACCUUCGGGGGCUGAUUUUUGGGCGCGGCUGUGCCCGUGGCCUAUUUUUGGCACACGGAGGCCGUCCGCCAAGUCUGGGGCCAUUCCGAGUCCGGCGGACGAACUUCGCCCACGCCCCCCUCCAAGGCUAUAUGCCACCCGUUUUUUGGCCAUUUUUCCGCUGGGGGGUCUUGGGACCCCGACCUUCGGGGGCUGAUUUUUGGGCGCGGCCGUGCCCGUGGCCUAUU